rnacentral:rRNA from 1 species
CGCAAUGGCGAAAGCCUGACGCAGCAACGCCGUGUGAGGGAUGAAGGCUUUCGGGUCGUAAACCUCUGUCGGAAGGGAAGAACGGGCAUUGGUCUAAUAGGCCUUUGUUUUGACGGUACCUUUAGAGGAAGCACCGGCUAACUCCGUGCCAGCAGCCGCGGUAAUACGGAGGGUGCAAGCGUUAUUCGGAAUUACUGGGCGUAAAGCGCACGUAGGCGGCCUUGUAAGUCAGGGGUGAAAUCCCACGGCUCAACCGUGGAACUGCCUUUGAAACUGCAGGGCUUGAAUCCUGGAGAGGGUGGCGGAAUUCCUGGUGUAGGAGUGAAAUCCGUAGAUAUCAGGAGGAACACCGGUGGCGAAGGCGGCCACCUGGACAGGUAUUGACGCUGAGGUGCGAAAGUGUGGGGAGCAAACAGGAUUAGAUACCCUGGUAGUCCACACCGUAAACGAUGGAUACUAGGUGUCGGGGACUUGAUCUUCGGUGCCGUAGCUAACGCGUUAAGUAUCCCGCCUGGGGAGUACGGUCGCAAGGCUGAAACUCAAAGAAAUUGACGGGGGCCCGCACAAGCGGUGGAGUAUGUGGUUUAAUUCGAUGCAACGCGAAGAACCUUACCUAG